CCCUGAUUCCCGCGCGGGGUCCUCCUCGCUUUCCCAGCGCGCCCGGAUCCCGCAGCCGCGCCAGGCUGGAACGUUCGCGCGGCCUCACCUGUCCCCGCUCCAGGCGCGCCUCCCUCCCCUCCCAGGGACGAGCGCAUUUGGCCGGGCUUUGGGAUGCGCCGCGCUCGUCUCGCCGCAGUAGUAGUGCUGUUCUCGCGCCUCCGAUGCCUCAACUCUCCAGUCUGGCAGUUUCCGGUGCACCUGUCCCCACACGUCCCUCGCCCACGGAGCCCCAGGCGGCGUUACGCACACCCAGGAUCGUGGAUCAGCCUGCCCCGGCGUCGGGUGUCCCCGCGGCUCUCACCAUCUGGAAAAGGAAGGUCCGCGCGCAGAGAGGGAAAUGGACGGAAAUAAGCAAAAGCAAAACAACCCCUUCUGAGAAGUGUCCUCCUCGCUCUCUUAUAAAAACAGGACUUGUUGCCGAGGUCAGCGCGCGCAUCGAGUGUGCCAGGCGUGUGCGUGGUUUCUGCUGUGUCAUUGCUUUCACGGAAGAGAGAAUGUCUGAAGCAUUGAAGAGUACGACCCAGGAAUUGAACCACCCAAGUCGGAGGAGGUAGAGGUUGGAAGUCACCGACUUUGGCCAGCACUUGUGUAGUGUCACCUGUCUUCACUUUCUAACGUUUAUUUUUCCUCCCCUUUCUGUGGCUGAUUUUCUGAUCUUUGUUCCUCGGUUCCCAGGACCAGGCCCACUCCCUCCGCCUUUUCAGCGAAGGCUGCAGUGCAUGACAGUUUACAGCCAAAACUUCCUCCAGCCCGGCUAUAAAGAAUUCCCAGUUAAUAACAAUGCGCUUCCUUGGGAGGAAAGAGGGGCUGAGGCACCGCCAGCUGUUUCGCUCCCAGGGUCUAUCUCUCCUUGGCAAGCCCAGCCAUUCAGAGAAAAACAAGACAAAGCCUUAUGGCUGGGCCUCAGGAUGCAACUGUCCCACCGAAAACAUGCUUGAAACAUUUUAUAAGAAAACACACACACACACCCCACUCGACUCCCAGAGAGGCAGUUUUCCUGGGCCCAAUCCCUUCUGAAAAAGCAAAGCCAUUUAUCUUUAGAAGCAGGCAACAAUGAAGCUGUAACAGGCUCAAGGAGGGGUGGAGGACAGCCUCGCGUGACUCUUACCCCACACUCUAGUCCCUCUCUUUCUGCAAGAAAAACAAAUGAAUUUCUUUUCUGAUUAUAUAUGUACUCCUUGUAGAAAUAUUAUAUAUGUAUCUGUCUUCAUAUAUAUGUAAAACAGUCACCCACAGUAUCUGUGGGGGAUUGGUUCCAGGACCUACAAAGAUGGCAGAAUCCAGGGAUGCCCUAGUCCCUUGGCAUGGUAUUUGCAUAUAACCUAUGGACUUCCUCCAUGAACUAUAAAUCACUUCUGGAUUACUUAUAAUACCUAAUACAAUGUAACACUAUGCAAA
rnacentral:lncRNA from 1 species